AUACGUAGGGUGCAAGCGUUAAUCGGAAUUACUGGGCGUAAAGCGUGCGCAGGCGGUUUUGUAAGACAGUGGUGAAAUCCCCGGGCUCAACCUGGGAACUGCCAUUGUGACUGCAAGGCUGGAGUGCGGCAGAGGGGGAUGGAAUUCCGCGUGUAGCAGUGAAAUGCGUAGAUAUGCGGAGGAACACCGAUGGCGAAGGCAAUCCCCUGGGCCUGCACUGACGCUCAUGCACGAAAGCGUGGGGAGCAAACAGGAUUAGAUACCCUGAUAGUCCACGCCCUAAACGAUGUCAACUGGUUGUUGGGGAUUUAUUUUCUCAGUAACGAAGCUAACGCGUGAAGUUGACCGCCUGGGGAGUACGGCCGCAAGGUUAAAACUCAAAGGAAUUGGCGGGG
rnacentral:rRNA from 1 species